rnacentral:rRNA from 1 species
UACAGAGGGGGCAAGCGUUAUUCGGAAUUAUUGGGCGUAAAGGGCGCGUAGGCGGCUUUGCAAGUGACGGGUGAAAUCCCUCGGCUUAACCGAGGAACUGCCUGUCAGACUGCAUGGCUUGAGACCAGGAGAGGUGAGUGGAAUUCCCAGUGUAGCGGUGAAAUGCGUAGAUAUUGGGAGGAACACCAGUGGCGAAGGCGGCUCACUGGACUGGUACUGACGCUGAUGCGCGAAAAGCGUGGGGAGCAAACAGGG